rnacentral:rRNA from 1 species
UACGUAGGGGGCAAGCGUUGUCCGGAAUCAUUGGGCGUAAAGCGCGUGUAGGCGGCCCGGUAAGUCCGCUGUGAAAGUCGGGGGCUCAACCCUCGAAUGCCGGUGGAUACUGUCGGGCUAGAGUGCGGGAGAGGCGAGUGGAAUUCCUGGUGUAGUGGUGGAAUGCGUAGAGAUCCGGAGGAACACCAGUGGCGAAGGCGGCUGCCUGGGCCUGGCCUGACGCUGAGGCGCGAAGCGUGGGAG